rnacentral:misc_RNA from 1 species
CUCAGUUGUAAUGCGGCGCAGAGGCCUGACCCACCACCUUCUCAGUUCCCCUCUUCUCAGUUCUUCUCAUCAACGACGCCGACGCCAAGAGCUUUACCUCCUCAGGACGUCACGUACCCUCUGCUCUCCUGCCCGACCGACGCAACAUCUCCUCGUCUGCUGUACUCCUGCUGUAAUUUAAUUAAGAAUUGCUUGAGCAUUAAGGUGUGAGCUGAAACUGAAUUGGGGUGCUUGAUCUGUUGUGACUUGCCUUGUGAUUAUUUGGGUGCUUAUCUGUUGUGAGAAUUUUGCUUGAUUUGUUGUGUUGGGAUUUUCCUUUUAGUUCUUAUGGCUUUGCUUUCUGUUGAGAUUAGCUUGAUUAUUGACUUUCUGGGUGUUUUUAGAGCAUUAAACUAUUAAAGUUUCAUUUUUCAUCCGAAAGUUAGUUGCCUUUGCCGGGUGUUUUAAUAUUUAUUAUCACUGGACUCAAACAUGAAUUUUUUUGAUUUCCAUGUCAAUUUCUGAUCUUUGUUAGACUGAAUUUAACUUUGAAGUUGUCUAGAUUAUUUUCUGUUCUUAUUUAAUUAAUUUGUUGGCUAUCUUGCUGAGCUGUGAAGAGUUAUCAGCAUAUCGUGAAAGCUUUAUUCUGACCCAUUUUUAUUGAUUUGCUAUUUUAAGUACUUUUGUUCUUCAUAUUAUGUUACAUGAAGUAAAGGAAUUUAAACUAUGAACUAUGAAGUAUGAACUACAAGGAGUCUUUUGUGUUGUGUCUUGGGCAUUUCUGGUGUAAAUAGCUGGACCUUCUUCAACACUACUUAUGUAGCAGCAUGUAUAUCUGAAGGGAAAAAGUAAAUUGGGAUUUUUUAGUAUUUUCUAUUCUUUUCACGUUCAUUGUGGUAAGUUAACAUUUUCAAUUACCAACUACAUUUCUUCUUUCGAGCCUCCUUUAUAUAUCCUUGUUAAGAGAAUUUGGUUAGUUAUAUCAUUUUUUUCCUGGGAUCUUUGCUGCAAUAUAUUUUGAAGGCCCAAAUAAAACUGAUUCAAACAUUCCUAAAACCAAACUGAAAUUUGUUGGUUUGGUUCAGUUGCCUAAUAACUAUGGUUCGGACUUCGGAGUGGUGUAGGGAAAAAGUCUGAUUUUCUUCUUCGGUUUUGUGGGUUUGGUUCAGUGUACUUGUUUUUGGUUGUAACUGAAAUACUAAUCAUGAGAGAUUUUUGUUUCUGGGGAUUAUUUUCAACUGUUCCUAUUUCUAUUAGUAUGAUUUAUUAUUUGGAUGGGUAGUCCUUUGAAUGAUCUCUUUGUUUCUUGUAACCUCUUUUGAUAUACUCUUGUUGAUAAGUUUUUUAGAAUGUAAAUUAUUUUGAGCUCUGUAAUUUCGAUAUUUUCUCUACAUGGCGUGUGCACCAACACCCGCCACUUCCUCUACAAUUUGUUUACUUUGGAUCACAUGUGCAAGAAAAAAGAGAGAAAAAAAAAAUCCAAAUUUGCUUUUGAUUCUCCAUAUAGUUUGGUUCUUUCUUUUCUUUGUAGCCAAAACCUUCCUUCCUUAUUUAGUUUUUGCAAGAUUUACAUUUUUUUAAUAUUAAUGUGGAAUUGGUUGAGCUCAAUGCAAAAGAGGAUUCAUACAGCUGAACCCAAUUAGUUUGGAAUUAAGCCUAGCUGUUGCUGUUCUUCAUUUUGCCCCAUUUCAUAUGUUUCCGUGCUUAUCAUAGAUAUAUCAUCUUUUAAUGAAACAUUUUACAUUUUCAUCCUACCAUGUUUAGUUUUAGCUCAUUAUCUUUGAAUUUUAGAUGGCUUUGAGAGGUGUGUGGCAACUUCAAAAGCUGAUUGUGAGCUAUUGUGACUGGGGAGGAAGUAGUAGGGGCAUCAGGGCAUUUAUGGAGUCACAACUGCCAGCAUUUAAAGAAGGAAAUCCUCAGUUAGAGUUGAUUACUGAACUCAAUCGUGGGCAACAUCCAUAUUUGAAGGCUUUUUAUGAGAACAAAAAUGAGCGGGUGGUUUGUGUGAAGAAUUUGACUCCAGAUGAAGUACUUCUGCAAGCGACCAGGCUAAGGAAUUCAUUGGGAAGAAAGGUGGUAAAACUAAAGACAAGGCAUGUUACCCAGCACCCAAGCGUGCAAGGUACAUGGACAACAGCAGUUAGAUUUUGAGGCAUGAAAACCGCUUAAUGAAUAGCUGUUGUUGCCAUGCUUUUAGUGUCAUAAAGCUAUAACAAUGACUUAGUACUAGUUACAGAAUCAGAUGAAAAUGCUUUAUAUGAUGCUUUGGAUUGUAGUAUUGAACUCGGUUAUAUUGUCUUUUCGACAUGUUUCAAUUCUCAUUUGGUUUUGCUCUAAAAAUAGGCAAAACAUUUUUAAGAUUUUUCAUAGUGUAAAAUUUAGCCAUCUAAUGCAUGUGCAUAUAUAUUGAC